rnacentral:ncRNA from 1 species
GAUCCUAAGAGACGGGGGAAGCCCGUCUGAUAGCGCGUUCAGCGCGAGCUUCGAAAGGGAAUCGGGUUAAAAUUUCUGAACCGGGAUGCGGCGGCUGACGGCAACGUUAGGGAGUCCGGAGACGUCAGCGGGGGCCUUGGAAAGAGUUAUCUUUUCUGUUUAAAGGCCUGCCCACCCUGGAAAUGGCUCAGUCGGAGGUAGGGUCCAGCGGCCGGAAGAGCACCGCACGUCGCGUGGUGUCCGGUGCGCCCCCGGCGG